rnacentral:rRNA from 1 species
GUUAGCGGCCAUACCACCCUGAAUGUAUCUGAUCUCGUCUGAUCUCAGAAGCUAAACAGGGGCAGGCCUGGUUAGUACCUGGAUGGAGGACACCACCAAACGCCCCCUCGCGCUCGGAAGCCCUGUGUCCAGGC